GGCAGCAGUGGGGAAUAUUGCACAAUGGGCGAAAGCCUGAUGCAGCAACGCCGCGUGAGGGAUGAAGGUUCUAGGAUUGUAAACCUCUUUGAUCAGGGAAGAAGCCGCAAGGUGACGGUACCUGAAGAACAAGCCCCGGCUAACUACGUGCCAGCAGCCGCGGUAAUACGUAGGGGGCAAGCGUUGUCCGGAAUCAUUGGGCGUAAAGAGCGCGUAGGCGGUCUGUCAAGUCCGGUGUGAAAUCUCGAGGCCUAACCUCGAGCGUGCAUCGGAAACUGUCAGACUAGAGUUCGGCAGGGGAAACUGGAAUUCCAAGUGUAGCGGUGAAAUGCGCAGAUAUUUGGAAGAACACCGGUGGCGAAGGCGGGUUUCUGGACCGCAACUGACGCUGAGGCGCGAAAGCUAGGGGAGCGAACAGGAUUAGAUACCCUGGUAGUCCUAGCCGUAAACGAUGGAUGCUAGCCGUCGGCAAGCUUGCUUGUCGGUGGCGCAGCUAACGCAUUAAGCAUCCCGCCUGGGGAGUACGGCCGCAAGGUUAAAACUCAAAGGAAUGACGAAUCUCGACUGCCGACCC
rnacentral:rRNA from 1 species